CCCUGUCUAGAAGUCACUGUGCAGCCCAUGGAAAGGAACUGAGACCUCCAGCUGUCAGCUGCAUGAGUGAGCCUUCUGGGAAGCAGCCCCUGGCCUCAGGAAAGCCUUCAGAAGGGUUACAGUGUAAUUUGUCAAGACUGUGAAGCCGCAAUGUGAUCUUAUUUUUGUGGCGCAUAUACUCUUAAUAAUUGCAAUAUGUAUCCUAAGUAUCCAACGUAUUAGACAGGAUGCAUGUGUCCGUCAGGAAGUGCUUGGAGGCACAGUGGCCCUCAAGCCUGGAGUCAUCCUUGGCCCACAGUGAGGCUCAGGCCUGUGCCGCAGGUACUCACCGAAUGAACUGAAAACUGCUCUGGGGGCAUUGGUUUGGGGACAGCUGAACUGGGAGAUCCUUGUGGAAUAGAGGUUGCUUCCCAAAGAUCCCAGAAAAAUAGUACACUGGACCUAGGCCAGAAUGAUCCGGGGGCUCCUGGAGCCUUUUCCAACAUAGCAGACUUCCUAGACAGCAGCUGAAGUGUGGGGCAGGAAGCGGCACACCAGGACGACCCUGGGCCCCUCCACCCCAUCCCUGCCUGUGCACCCCAGGCCCUGGAAGCCGGGGUGAGCUCCUGAGCUUGACAGCCCAGGCAGUGGCCAGGCCCUUGGGAGCCCCUGGGCUUCCCAAGGCAGGAGAGGACAAACAGGCCACCAUCUCUUAUAACUUCACCUCUUCACUCCUCAGAAGUUGGAAUGUGUCACACCGGAUAACAUCUUAGAAUCAAUAGUAUUGCUGUAAAUUACAUUCCAGAAAGAUGAUUAAUAAAGCUGACUAAAGUCUGGCCAGG